UAGGAACAUUUAAUUCCCCCAUCAGACAUGAUAAUGUUUUUAUCCAUCAACACUUGAACAAGAGGGAACACUUUUUUUUUUUUGUAUGCCACAAUCCAUAUUAUUAUUGUUAACUAAAAUUAAAUAAAUAAAAAAUGUUAACUGAAAUAAAAUAUAAAUAUUAGAUACAAAACAGAAAAAAAAUUAGACCUGAAUUAUAAAUUAGAAUAAAUUAUAUAUUAGAAUGCAACUAACUGAAAUGAAAUAGAUUUGAGUAUAAUUACUAAAAAAUUAAAGAUGAAGUAAAGCUAAAUAAAAAUAAAUGUUUUUAAAAAAAAGCUAAUGAAAUGACAAAAGCCGAAAAGUACUAAAAGCUUAAAUUAAAAUUUAAACUAAAAAUCUAAAAAUAAAAGCCAACUCCUAAUUUAUUAAUUAAUAGUAUACAAAUAAUACUAAAAUAACACUGCUCACACACACACACAAAAAAAGACUUCUCUGAAAGCCGUUCUCUGCAUCUCCUCACUGAAAUAUAUGUGUGAAGACUUGUUCUUCUACCCUGACUAUUGUUAUUUAGGUGUUACCAUGGAACUAGACCCUGUUGUAUGUGUCGGUGGGGGGCUGGUGGUCCUUUUGCUUCUUGUGUAACUGUAGAUUGAGCAGCAGUUGUGUAUUAAUAGAUCUGAGUGACGUGCAUGAGCGGCAGCUUAACUCGAUUGUUGGAUUUUUGUGUUUAUUUCAGGGAUGGAGGAAGGGAGGUGACCCUCACAGCUCUUGCGUGGUUGAAGAAACGGAGAGCGUGAGGGGUACAGCAGAUAUUAAGACAUUCAGGCUCUUAUGAUUGACGGGGCGGCAGGAUAUCUGAUGUUGGCCUGGAGAGAGACAGGACACAUGGAACUGACAGGUCUGCACUUGGCUCAGGGAACAUACAGAGACGCUGCUGAUGACAGGAAGACGGAUCAAGGGAAAGAGAAGAGGGACUCAGGAAAGCCAAGAUGCUGGGAUGAACUGAAGGUUAAAUAUAUACAGUGGUGAAUGAGAGGAGUGUAGAAUAGAGUUAGGGAAACAAAUAUGAAGAAAAAAAGUUUAGAAGUGACAGAGUAAAAUGUGAAUUUGAACAUCUUGGGAAUAUUUGACAGUGGUUGAGCUGUCAAUUCUACUUUAACUGCCUCUAACAAAUACAUUAUUUUCAAACACAUUAGUGAUUACUGUGGCCUU
ensembl:lncRNA